UCUAAUAUGGCAGAAAAGUGCAGUGGAUUUAAGCUCCUCAUAUGAAGUGUUAACUUUUAUUAGAA
rnacentral:tRNA from 1 species